CUCCCGGCAAUUGUUGUCCUGAGAAGAAAAGGCCAUUAUGCUUUUGCACCAAAGCAAGUCUGAUUUUAGAACCAAAUUUGAGAUGUUUAGGUAGGAUUCAUGUUGGCCCAUGCAAUGGCUGUGUCCCCUCCCCAAAUUAAGGGGCAGACAAUUCUGCCAGGAUCAGAGGUCAAAGGAAAGGGAAGUGGCCGUAUGAGCACAUAGCUGGAAAGCUGGAGACACCCCAGGGUCCCCACAGUGGCUGGGAGGAACCCGGGUCGCCCCCAGGAGCUGCUGAGACCAGUUCAUUAGGGGCACGUUGUGUCCCCUGAAGACCCCUGAAGGCCAAACCUAGCACUGUGCUUGGCCACAGGGGGUCUAAAGAAGUGAUUAAGUUCAAAUGGGUUAUCAGGGUGGGCCCACCCCCUGCUGCACUCCUUGUAAGAAGAGUAACUCAGGACACAGCACACAGAGAGGGCCCACCCUGUGGGGACACUGGAGAGGGCCUCUGCAAGGAAGGACAAAGGGAUCAGAACAAACCAGCCCUGGGGCACCUUGACCUGGCUUUCGGCCUCCAGGACCUGAGACAGUGCAUUCCCUGCCUAUGUCCUUGUGUGAGCCACAGGGAGUUGGCACAGUACAUAGAGGACAGGGUUAUAAACCCGUGCCCCUGGGGGGCUGAGCUCUACACAGGCAGGUCAGCACAAGGUCAGUGUGAGGUCAGCGCAAGUGUCUAAGGAGCUGUGCCAUCCCCUCAGCGUCACACUUGUGAAGGUCCUGUGAGUCCCCUGGGUGAUCUGGAGCAGACAGAGGAAAAGUGAAUUAUGUGCAAAUACUGCGCUGUUGUACACCAGGGGCUGGGGCACCCCAGGACUUCAGUGUCCACAGGGCCUGGACCAUCCCCAGAGAAUGCUGAGGGUGACUGCCAGGGCCUGGACCAGGAUGUGAGCUGGGGCACCUCUGUGGGGCUGUGGGCACCAGGACCAGGGCAGAGGUCACUUGCAGGCACAGGAAGGGGUCAGAUCUGGCCGCGUGGCUGGGUACUGCCAUUCAGCUAGAAAGCGCUGAGGCAAGCCCAGUCUGGCAGCUACUCUGUGACCCAGGUGAGUUUCUGAACUCUCCAAAUCUGUUUUCUCAUCUAUGAAAUGGACGACUGUUCACACCCUUCCUUAGGACAGCUAUUAGGUCAAAGUCAGCCUCCGCAGGCAGGAGCAGCCACCUGUGUGCACUGGAGACUCUUCCACCCUUCAUUGGACAGCUGGGACCACCCAGAAGAGCGCUCGAGCGAGUCUGGGUUCUCUCCUCCACCUGGCCUUAGGAGAGGGAUGCAGCUGUCCAGGGAAUCCAACAGAACGCCCGCCGUACAGUGUUCUGUGAAGAAAGCAAGCGCACGGGAAUGAGCUGCUCCUCUUUGAGGUCCUGGAGCAUCGGUGGAGAACGACACUUACCAGGCCCCACCAUACAGGAGCCAGACGCUGCCGUGGCAGCAGAAGCCAGGUUUCAAUCUGUGAGCUCCAGGGGCACAUUCCCCGGGUCCCAGCCCCUUCCUCUCCAAUCGGCCACACCCCCUCACUGUGUGCCUGUCCUACGGACACACGCAGACCCUGCCGCAAUGUGAGUGACCAUGCCGUGCUUCUGAAUGACCCCUGCCCCUGCCAGAGUCCACUCCAAGCAGAGUGUUGGUUCGUAGCCCCCACUCCCUAAGGUGGUCCCAGACAACAACAAAAUCACCCCUGAGUGUAAUUGCCUGUGAUAUUAUUUCAGUAGUUGUUUUAUUGCGGUGAUAAAACUAAUAAAGCCCAGUUAUAACACACAUCAUGAUGUUAAUAUAUCAAGUAAUUUGUCAAAGUUCAUAACUUGGUGGCAUUUAUGUAAAACAUUUAUAUCCCAUUUUUAAAAGACAGUAAAAUUCAAUAGCUUCAGGGACUCUGUUUUACAUGCUCUUAAAAUCCAAAUCGUAAAGAAAUUGUUUUAAAAUAAAUCUAUAUUUUCAGCA